GUAGUCAUUCAUGUGGAAUUCAAAGCAAUCCUUCAAAGGAGUCCUUCAGAAAGCAAUAGUCGUUUCACCAUCCAGACUGAAAAGAAGCAUCUAAGCUAAAGCAAAUAAUAUCUCUGCGAUGGGCAACAAGCCAAAGAUCAAACAGUUCAUGUGGAUCAUUUAUGUCAUCACCGUCAUCUUUCUAAUAUAUUACACCUACAGCACAGGACUAUUCUACCAUUGGAUGCUUUGGAAGUACAAUGGAACAGUCCCAACAAUUCUAGAUGAGCCACAUAUGACUCACAACAGUAGUCCAGAACAUGCUGGUUCCCAGGGACCAUACACUCUUGCAGCAGUUAAAGGGACAAAGACCUUUCUGAUAUCAGCUUAUC